UCCAGACUCCUACGGGAGGCAGCAGUGGGGGAUAUUGCACAAUGGGGGAAACCCUGAUGCAGCGACGCCGCGUGAGUGAAGAAGUAUUUCGGUAUGUAAAGCUCUAUCAGCAGGGAAGAAAAAAGACGGUACCUGACUAAGAAGCCCCGGCUAACUACGUGCCAGCAGCCGCGGUAAUACGUAGGGGGCAAGCGUUAUCCGGAUUUACUGGGUGUAAAGGGAGCGUAGACGGCAAUACAAGUCGGAAGUGAAAUACCCGGGCUUAACCUAGGAACUGCUUUGGAAACUGUAUGGCUGGAGUGCUGGAGAGGUAAGCGGAAUUCCUAGUGUAGCGGUGAAAUGCGUAGAUAUUAGGAGGAACACCAGUGGCGAAGGCGGCUUACUGGACAGUAACUGACGUUGAGGCUCGAAAGCGUGGGGAGCAAACAGGAUUAGAUACCCGCGUA
rnacentral:rRNA from 1 species